CACGUAGGGUGCGAGCGUUGUCCGGAAUUAUUGGGCGUAAAGAGCUCGUAGGCGGCUUGUCGCGUCGGCUGUGAAAACCCGCGGCUCAACUGUGGGCGGGCAGCUGAUACGGGCAGGCUGGAGUUCGGUAGGGGAGACUGGAAUUCCUGGUGUAGCGGUGAAAUGCGCAGAUAUCAGGAGGAACACCGAUGGCGAAGGCAGGUCUCUGGGCCACUACUGACGCUGAGAAGCGAAAGCAUGGGGAGCGAACAGG
rnacentral:rRNA from 1 species